rnacentral:piRNA from 1 species
UUCUACAACAUUGCAUCCAGACUUCAC